rnacentral:rRNA from 1 species
CCUACGGGGGGCAGCAGUGGGGAAUAUUGGACAAUGGGGGGAACCCUGAUCCAGCCAUGCCGCGUGUGUGAAGAAGGCCCUCGGGUUGUAAAGCACUUUCAGUGAGGAAGAACGCCUGGUGGUUAAUACCCAUCAGGAAAGACAUCACUCACAGAAGAAGCACCGGCUAACUCCGUGCCAGCAGCCGCGGUAAUACGGAGGGUGCGAGCGUUAAUCGGAAUUACUGGGCGUAAAGCGCGCGUAGGUGGCUUGAUAAGCCGGUUGUGAAAGCCCCGGGCUCAACCUGGGAACGGCAUCCGGAACUGUCAAGCUAGAGUGUAGGAGAGGAAGGUAGAAUUCCCGGUGUAGCGGUGAAAUGCGUAGAGAUCGGGAGGAAUACCAGUGGCGAAGGCGGCCUUCUGGACUGACACUGACACUGAGGUGCGAAAGCGUGGGUAGCAAACAGGAUUUGAUACCCCAGUAGUC